rnacentral:rRNA from 1 species
UACGAAGGGGGCUAGCGUUGCUCGGAAUCACUGGGCGUAAAGCGCACGUAGGCGGCUUUCUAAGUCAGAGGUGAAAUCCUGGAGCUCAACUCCAGAACUGCCUUUGAUACUGGAGAGCUUGAGUUCGGGAGAGGUGAGUGGAACUGCGAGUGUAGAGGUGAAAUUCGUAGAUAUUCGCAAGAACACCAGUGGCGCAGGCGGCUCACUGGCCCGAUACUGACGCUGAGGUGCGAAAGCGUGGGGAGCAAACAGG